rnacentral:pre_miRNA from 1 species
GAGUUUCCUAUUUUGUGGGAUUACUAUUGUAUUGAGAUUUUGUUUCCUAAAAGACAGGAAUUGUAACUCUAUAAAUCUUUGAUUGUAGAAUUACAAUAAAGGAAAGAGUGAAGAGAGAGAAAACGAUCAACACGACAUAUAUGUGGUUCGGGAAUGAUGCCUACGUCUAUGGAGGGUAAACCAGUAUCUCAUUCAUUGGGAUUGCUCUAGUUUACUAGAGAUUUGUAGAGUUACGAUUCUUGUCUUUUAGGAAACAAAUUUUAUUACAACUGUAAUUCCACAAAAUAUGAAAUUC